rnacentral:lncRNA from 1 species
UUGGCAUCCAAAUAACGGGAUGGUAGAUUGGAAUUAUAAUGGUCCAGGAAGGAAUUCCAGUUGGCAUUCUGAAGGAACAGGUGGUUUUUCCAGUUGGCAUAUGAACAACAGUAACGGAAACUGGAAAUCCAAUGUGCGUAAUAUGAAUAGUUGGAAUUACAAUGGCCCCGGAGACAAAUUUCAACCAGGGAGAAACAGAAAUUCUAACUAUCAGGGAGAAGACAUGAAUAUGCCAUGGAACAAGAAAUCUAAUAUGUCAAGCAAAUACAAUCAAGAGAGAUAUAAUUGGCAGUGGCAAGAUAAUGAUAAAGUUGGUAUGGUUGCAGCAUACAGAAGUCCUUCUGAAGACUUUACCAGUGAUAGAUUUCCUUCAGAAGACUUACAUGACUUCAAUUUUGAGCAACCAGAAAGCCAGACUACUAAACAAAUAGAUAGUGCACCUACCAAAACUGGUGGAAAGAAUGGCAGUGUAGCAAGGGAAAAGCUCCAUCGAUGGACUCCGUACCCUUCCCAGAAGACUCUGGAUUCACAGUCGGGAUUGAAAGAAGUCACUGGUAAUAAUUCAGAAAUGACAGAUAAGCCUCUCUUUGACUUUAGCUUGAUAACUGCAGGAAUACGAGCACCUCUAACUGAUGAAGCUAAUAAUCCCCCAGCACUAAAAACACAAAAAGAAAUAGAUAAUGGAUCUCUUAAUCACAAAGCCCCUUCUGACUGCCCUGUUUCCUGUGAGGUGAUGAGAGAUUGUCCCAUUACAGAUAACCCUGAACAAGAACAUAACUCAAAUAAGUUGCUCUCAUUGAAAUCCCCACUUCCACUUCUGGCCACUAAGCCCAUUUCUCAAAAGCAAGACCCAAAGACUCCCUCAAAAAACACCAAAACAAAUUCUUUUCCUGCAGGAAACUCAAAUCCCUUGAAUGAACCCAUUUUAGAAGAUAACCAUGGUUCUUCCUCCCUGUCCAAAAUGCGUAGUUCAUGUUCUCGUAAAGGAAGUAAGACUGCCUCUGGCACUCAGAAAGAAUUGGAUGUUAACUUAAGUAGUACAAUACAAAAAGCCAAAGAAAUGCUACAGUGUCAUGAGUCAUUGAAAGAUCCACCUCAUAGCACUCCUAAAAGGACCAGGAUCUAUGCAAAAACAGGUAGGAAUGUACUGGAGUCUGAAAAAGGAUCUUUGAAGAUUGAGUUUCAAGUACAAGCAUUAGAAGAUGAAAGUGGUGGAGAAACAUCUGACACAGAAAAGCAUGGAACAAAACUCGGAACCCUAGGUUCUGCAACUACAGAAGUUUUACCCUGCAGCACUCAUACUGUCGGUGAGAAAGAAGAGGAUGACCAGAUCCUGAAAACAUCUAGAAAACUUGCCUUCACCUCAUGUAAUUCCAUGGUUCAUGAGAAAGAGUCUGAGUCACAGAUGCCAUCUGCAGCCAGUCCACAGUCUAGCUUAUUACUGGAUUUGAAAACUUCUCUAGAAGAUGGCCAGGGUGAUAACCCUGUUAAAUCUCUCAUAUCUUACGAAACAGAAGCCUUUGCGAAUACUACCUUGGAAGCAGAACUUCACAAAAGUGAUAACAGUCAGCCCUCUGGUUCUCUCCUGCCCGAACUAAGUAAGCUUGGCUUUCCUGCCUCACUCCAGAGAGAUCUAACCCGCCACAUUAGUUCAAAGACCAAAACUGGAGCACACCUUCCUGAGCCAAACCUCAAUAGUGCUCGCCGCAUUCGCAAUAUUAGUGGUCAUCGAAAGAGUGAAACAGAGAAGGAGUCUGGUCUCAAGCCAACCCUAAGACAGAUUCUGAAUGCAUCUCGGAGAAAUGUCAACUGGGAACAGGUCAUUCAGCAAGUAACCAGGAAAAAGCAAGAGCUGGGCAAAGGCUUACCCAGAUUUGGCAUAGAAAUGGUGCCUCUGGUUCAGAAUGAACAAGAAGUCUUGGGUUUAGGUGGGGAGCCUGGCCUGUCUGGUCCUGAAGGGUUCCAGUGGGAAGCUGUUUCCAUCGCCUCAGCCCCUGGGUUGGCCAGAACGUGAAGCCUUUCUGAGAGCAGUGUGAUCACAGACAGGGCUCCUGUGUACAGCUUCUUCAGUGAGGAAGUUACUGGUAAAGAAAAUGAGCCCCAAGCAGAUUGUUUCACCUAGUAACUCACUGAGUGUUGCACAAAGUCAGAAAGCAACCCUGUGCCUUAAACAGGAACCAACACCUCUGGCUGCCUCCCUCAGAACAUGUGAAAGGGCUGAAAACUUUGCUAUCUGAAGGCGACAUAGUACACAAUUGCCAUCUGACCAUAUGAUAGUUUUGAUUCAUUCUGCAAAAGAUAUGAACAGCCAGGAGUGCUCUAUAUCACCACCCAAGACUCAAAACUCCCUGGAGAAGGGAGUCAUCUGUCAUUAAAUGCGUCCUCAGUCCUUGUAAUCACUAGCUUGGCAGAUGCAGCUACAGAUAGUAGCUGUACCUCUGGUGCUGAAUAAAAUGACAGCCAGUGUAUUAGAAAGAAGUGAAGAGCCACUGGAGAUGGAUAAAGUUAGCUCUACUAGUGAGAUUGUCACUUCCAGCAAGGAUGGCAUCCCUGUAAGUGUGGCAGAAACUCAGACUGUGAUCUGCUCCCUAAAAGGCUCCAAAAACUCCUCAGAAAUAUCUUCAGAGCCAAGAGAUAAUGAUGAGCCCACAGAAGGAAGCUUUGAAGGGCAUCAAGCUGUAGUGAAUGCAAUUCAAAUAUUUGGAAACUUACUAUAUACCUGUUCAGGAGAUAAAACUGUCCGAGUGUAUAACCUGGUGAGUCAGAAAUCUAUUGGUGUCUUCAAGGGCCAUACAUCCAAACUGUCUCCUGGUCACUCAGACCUCUGAGAAGAAUGCCGCACUCUACACAGGUUCCAGUGAUCAUACCAUUCACUGCUACAAUGUUAAGACCCACAUGUGCAUAGAGCAGUUAAAGCUGGAAGAUAGGGUUCUCUGCCUCCACUUGAUGGUGAAUCGUAUAUGUAGGACUGGUAAAUGGCAAUGUGGUCACCGUCAAUGCAAAGA